rnacentral:rRNA from 1 species
UGACUGACCGAUAGUGAACCAGUACCGUGAGGGAAAGGCGAAAAGAACCCCUGUGAGGGGAGUGAAAUAGAUCCUGAAACCGCAUGCAUACAAGCAGUGGGAGCACCUUCGUGGUGUGACUGCGUACCUUUUGUAUAAUGGGUCAGCGACUUAUAUUCAGUAGCGAGGUUAACCGUAUAGGGGAGCCGUAGAGAAAUCGAGUCUUAAUAGGGCGUUUAGUUGCUGGGUAUAGACCCGAAACCAGGCGAUCUAUCCAUGAGCAGGUUGAAGGUUGGGUAACACUAACUGGAGGACCGAACCCACUGUCGUUGAAAAGCCAGGGGAUGACUUGUGGAUAGGGGUGAAAGGCUAAUCAAGCCUGGUGAUAGCUGGUUCUCCCCGAAAGCUAUUUAGGUAGCGCCUCGGACGAAUACCAUAGGGGGUAGAGCACUGUUUCGGCUAGGGGGUCAUCCCGACUUACCAAACCGAUGCAAACUCCGAAUACCUAUGAGUACUAUCCGGGAGACAGACUGCGGGUGCUAACGUCCGUAGUCAAGAGGAAAACAAUCCAGACCGCCAGCUAAGGCCCCAAAAUCAUAGUUAAGUGGGAAACGAUGUGGGAAGGCAUAGACAGCUAGGAGGUUGGCUUAGAAGCAGCCACCCUUUAAAGAAAGCGUAAUAGCUCACUAGUCGAGUCGGCCUGCGCGGAAGAUGUAACGGGGCUAAAACUAUGUGCCGAAGCUGCGGAUGUAUACUUUGUAUACGUGGUAGGGGAGCGUUCUGUAAGCCGAUGAAGGUGUGUUGAGAAGCAUGCUGGAGGUAUCAGAAGUGCGAAUGCUGACGUGAGUAACGACAAAACGGGUGAAAAACCCGUUCGCCGAAAGACCAAGGGUUCCAGUCCAACGUUAAUCGGGGCUGGGUGAGUCGACCCCUAAGGCGAGGCCGAAAGGCGUAGUCGAUGGGAAAAUGGUUAAUAUUCCAUUACUUCUGUGUAAUGCGAUGAGAGGACGGAGAAGGCUAAAUCAGCCUGGCGUUGGUUGUCCAGGUGAAAGGAUGUAGGCAUGUAUCUUAGGCAAAUCCGGGGUACUCUAUGCUGAGAUCUGAUAGCAAGCUGUACUUGUACAGCGAAGUGGUUGAUGCCAUGCUUCCAGGAAAAGUCUCUAAGCUUCAGUUACACAGGAAUCGUACCCGAAACCGACACAGGUGGUCAGGUCGAGUAGACCAAGGCGCUUGAGAGAACUCUGCUGAAGGAACUAGGCAAAAUGGUACCGUAACUUCGGGAGAAGGUACGCUGUUGUUGGUGAUGGAACUCGCUUCCUGAGCUGACGACAGCCGCAGAAACCAGGCCGCUGCAACUGUUUAUUAAAAACAUAGCACUCUGCAAACACGAAAGUGGACGUAUAGGGUGUGAUGCCUGCCCGGUGCUGGAAGGUUAAUUGAUGGGGUUAGCGUAAGCGAAGCUCUUGAUCGAAGCCCCAGUAAACGGCGGCCGUAACUAUAACGGUCCUAAGGUAGCGAAAUUCCUUGUCGGGUAAGUUCCGACCUGCACGAAUGGCAUAAUGAUGGCGGCGCUGUCUCCAGCAGAGGCUCAGUGAAAUCGAAAUCGCUGUGAAGAUGCAGUGUACCCGCGGCUAGACGGAAAGACCCCGUGAACCUUUACUGCAGCUUGACACUGAACUUUGACCUUACUUGUGUAGGAUAGGUGGGAGGCUUUGAAGCUGGAACGCUAGUUCCAGUGGAGCCGUCCUUGAAAUACCACCCUGGUAAUGUUGAGGUUCUAACUCUGUCCCGUGAUCCGGGACGAGGACCGUGUCUGGUGGGUAGUUUGACUGGGGCGGUCUCCUCCUAAAGAGUAACGGAGGAGUACGAAGGUGCGCUCAGCGUGGUCGGAAAUCACGCGUAGAGUAUAAAGGCAAAAGCGCGCUUAACUGCGAGACCCACAAGUCGAGCAGGUACGAAAGUAGGUCUUAGUGAUCCGGUGGUUCUGUAUGGAAGGGCCAUCGCUCAACGGAUAAAAGGUACUCUGGGGAUAACAGGCUGAUACCGCCCAAGAGUUCAUAUCGACGGCGGUGUUUGGCACCUCGAUGUCGGCUCAUCUCAUCCUGGGGCUGAAGCAGGUCCCAAGGGUAUGGCUGUUCGCCAUUUAAAGAGGUACGCGAGCUGGGUUUAGAACGUCGUGAGACAGUUCGGUCCCUAUCUACCGUGGGCGCUGGAAAUUUGAGAGGAUCUGCUCCUAGUACGAGAGGACCAGAGUGGACGAACCUCUGGUGUACCGGUUGUGACGCCAGUCGCAUCGCCGGGUAGCUAUGUUCGGAAGGGAUAACCGCUGAAAGCAUCUAAGCGGGAAGCCUACCUCAAGAUAAGAUUUCCCUAGGACUUUAUGUCCUCUAAAGAGCCGUUCGAGACUAGGACGUUGAUAGGUUGGAUGUGGAAGCAUAGUGAUAUGUGAAGCUGACCAAUACUAAUUGCUCGUGAGGCUUGACUAU